GCAGCAGUGAGACCCCCGGGGGAUGAGCUUCGGGGUCGAGAGGGAAACAGCCCAGACCGUCGGCUAAGGUCCCAAAAUCCAGACUAAGUGGUAAAACGAUGUGAGAUUGCGAAGACAGCCAGGAGGUUGGCUUAGAAGCAGCCACCCUUGAAAGAGUGCGUAACAGCUCACUGGUCGAGUGAUCUUGCGCGGACAAUGUAACGGGGCUCAAGUCUGGUACCGAAGCCACGGGUUCGAUCUUUGAUCGAGCGGUAGCGGAGCGUCGAUCUCGCAGUGAAGCGGCAGGGGUGACCGGUCGUGGAGCGUGGUCGAGUGAGAAUGUUGGCAUGAGUAGCGAAAGAGGGGUGAGAAACCCCUCGCCGGAUGUCCAAGGGUUCCUGGGGAAGGCUAUUCCACCCAGGGUGAGUCGGGAGCUAAGGCGAGGCCGAGAGGCGUAGUCGAUGCACAACCGGUUGAUAUUCCGGUACCACCACAUGCGCGUCCAUUCCAAUUUCAGCUUGCUAAGGGGCUGUGCCGGCUUU
rnacentral:rRNA from 1 species